rnacentral:lncRNA from 1 species
ACAAGGGAUGCUCGAUCUUAAUUGGAAUGUUAUCUGGAUUGCCCUAAGUAGGUUUGAUUGAAUGCCACGACUGCCUCUGGACUUUGAAAUGAGGUCAGACCAGCAGGAAAUUAAUCCAGUGUUUGACACCAUUGGAGACAAUGAUUCCCGUUUGAAACUAAAGAAUGAGGCGACUCGAGGCUCCGACAUGCGAUAUUCCUACUACACGCACGAGUAUUUUAUACUCAGGGUUCCUGGGACUGUACAGUGCUUCUCUACAGUAAGAAAAUAUUCCAAACUAUUUUCUUAUUUCUUUUUUUUUUUUUUUUUUAAUAAAAUAUUUUUUUCUCAAAGGGUUUUGUUUUUUUUUUUUUCCUUUCUUUUUUUUUCCUUUCUUUUUUUUCCUUUCUUUUUUUUUCCUUUCUUUUUUUCCUUUCUUUUUUUUUCCUUUCUUUUUUUCUCCUUUCUUUUCUUUUUUUUUUUUCAUUUUUUUCUUUUUUUUCCUUUUUUCCCCCCCUCUCCCCCCUCCUUUUUCUUUUUCUUUUUUUUUUUUUUUUUCUUCUUCAAAUCAACACGUAGAAGUUAAUGGAAUGAGUCAUGUCCCACUAAGAGUAAAAUAAUUAUCAUAAUAACAAGAAUGUACAUUAGGACAAGCUUGGUCCAUUAAAAAGGAACGUGUAACUACCGUAUUGCUUUACAUCCACGCAGCAAGAUAUAUACAACUUGGCACAUUAAAAACCGGUUUCCUUAGAAGAACAUCUAAAACAGGACUGUAUAUGCAUAUGUACGUCUGAAAGACAAAAAGCAAAGCCAUCGCCAGGGGCAGCGCGUGCCCCCCGCCCCCCCCUGUGCCACAACCCUUGCCUGACCGGGACGGGCAGCUCCUCCGGCUCCACGCAGUGAGGACCAGCUCCUUUGGGGUUAAUAUUCCUCCUCAGGGCGGGGGGGGGUGGGGGGGUGCUGCAAGGCGCUGCCCCCUAAAUUAAGAGACGGACGUUUGAAGCUGUACAACCAGAACACAAGAAUAGUGUUAGCAGUUGAUAUAUUCUACAGUUCACGACAAAUACUCGCUCUGAAUACUGCUCGACGGUUCGUGUAGUGAAGGUUUUCCUUUUUUUUUUUUGUUUUUUUUUUUUUCCUCCUUUUUUCCUCCUUUUUUUUUUUUUUUUCCUUUUUCCCU